UCAGUUCAGUUUGGUGUUCUGGUCGGACUCCGUGUACAAUUCUCUCUCCUCUUCCUCCUCCUCUCUCUCUUCCCUAUCUCUCUCUGUUCAAUCCGAGUUAUUCAACCUAUCCCAGAUCGCAAGAAGAUAAACAGCCCCAAUCUUCUCUGCCCCACAACCCUGAAAAUCCCAAUUUAUCUAGCAAGGAAAUAGAAAGGCACAUUCUUUUUCUUCCUUUCUCUCUUAGAAAAUCCCAAUUCCUAAAGCCCCAAUCUUUUCCACCGAAUCGGGUGAUAUUGCUUUAGAGCUUUUGGGAGACAAUUUACCCUUGUUUCAUCGAAUGGAAUCUGAUCUGAAAACUUCCUCCUCCCCCUAGAACCCUAGAAAAUCCCAAUUCGUCCCUUGAAAUCCUACACUGUUGAACUUUAGAGCUUUUAUUUCGUUUUUCUGCGGUGUUGUAGAGAUCCAUGGCUCUUCGGCGUGUGGUUGGAAGUAGUAAUUACAUUCCGAAAUUUGGAAGACUUGCUGCGUCCAAUCGUCUAUUUGGUAUUGGAGGCCAUGAAAGAUACGUUUUCAAACCCACAAAAAACAGGAAACCAGAAGGGUUUGAUUAUCAUAUGUAUUUAGGAGGAUUAGGGCCUGCCCGUUUCGCCACACUAGAGUUCAACAAGCUAAAGAAUGCGCAACUGCAGAUUUCGAGAGUGUUGAGGGUGAAAGGCAUGCACUUCAGGGAAGAGUUUCGCAAUUCUUCUGAAUUUUAUCGUCGUUGUUACUUGAUGAUGUUGGAGGCAGUUGGUGCCGACGGGGUUAAAUUAUACAAAACAGAAAUCCGUGUAGAUUCUAUUGACAGCAAUAUGGCUUUGCAAGACUUUUGUGUCAUCGAUGAUAAGAAACGUCCUAUAAUACUAUAGCAUCACUUAGAUAACUUUUUUGCUGAAUGAUGCUUCAGACUCCAGUGUGCUGGAUUUUUUCGGAUACCUUAUAUUCAGAGGCAAAGGAGGCGAAGAUGCUGUGUGCGUGUCUGCUGGAUGGGGCAAAGCAGCAUGACGAUCGACCUUCAGUAGUCUCCUGCCUGAAGCUAUGUUAUAUUCGGAUGCUGUAGCUGGAUCUUCAAUUUCAAAUCAUUAGUUUCUUUCUUGUUCGGUCGAUAUUUUUAACUAAUCUAAAUUACUGGUUGGAAAUUUAAAUAAGUGAUUACUUACCAAAAAAUAACAUUGGUUAAGAUCUUUAAACACUUAUUGUAAAUAAUAUCGUUUGUUAAAUAAAAAAAUAAAAAAAAUCUUUGAACA